rnacentral:lncRNA from 1 species
UUCAAAUUAAACUGUCUUUGAUAUUAAGUCGGGAUGUUCUCUGAUAUCUCCUUUUAUUUAUACGGAACUGUCAUAAUAUACUUUUUUUCGAUGAGUUGCUGUCUCGAAAACGUAUGACAGACAUUUACUAUUAUUCAUAUGGAACUGUCCUUAGAUCUAUUUUUAGAUGAAUUGCUGCCUCAUAACUGUAAUUUGUGGUAUAUCUAUACCAACGAAAUUCACUAAAACUUGUACCCCACGAAUAAUAAUGAAUCCUUAGAAGUUUAAAUUUUUCUGUAUAAUCUCGAUAAGAUGUCGUCGAGUCUCGGGUCCAAUACAGCUAAUCUCAAAUCUAUAACAGGGCCAAUACAGAAAUUGUCAGUUAAUAACGCUAUAAAAUUAAUUUUAA